UAAGGCGGUCCUAUAAUGCAAGUCGAGCGGACUUGACGGAGCUUGCUCUGUUCAAGUUAGCGGCGGACGGGUGAGUAACACGUGGGUAACCUGCCUGUAAGACUGGGAUAACUCCGGGAAACCGGGGCUAAUACCGGAUAUUCUUUUUCUUCGCAUGAAGAAGAAUGGAAAGGCGGCUUUUAGCUGUCACUUACAGAUGGACCCGCGGCGCAUUAGCUAGUUGGUGAGGUAACGGCUCACCAAGGCGACGAUGCGUAGCCGACCUGAGAGGGUGAUCGGCCACACUGGGACUGAGACACGGCCCAGACUCCUACGGGAGGCAGCAGUAGGGAAUCUUCCGCAAUGGACGAAAGUCUGACGGAGCAACGCCGCGUGAGUGAAGAAGGUUUUCGGAUCGUAAAGCUCUGUUGUCAGGGAAGAACAAGUACCAAAGUAACUGUUGGUACCUUGACGGUACCUGACCAGAAAGCCACGGCUAACUACGUGCCAGCAGCCGCGGUAAUACGUAGGUGGCAAGCGUUGUCCGGAAUUAUUGGGCGUAAAGCGCGCGCAGGCGGCUUCUUAAGUCUGAUGUGAAAGCCCACGGCUCAACCGUGGAGGGUCAUUGGAAACUGGGAGGCUUGAGUGCAGAAGAGGAGAGCGGAAUUCCACGUGUAGCGGUGAAAUGCGUAGAGAUGUGGAGGAACACCAGUGGCGAAGGCGGCUCUCUGGUCUGUAACUGACGCUGAGGCGCGAAAGCGUGGGGAGCGAACAGGAUUAGAUACCCUGGUAGUCCACGCCGUAAACGAUGAGUGCUAAGUGUUGGAGGGUUUCCGCCCUUCAGUGCUGCAGCUAACGCAUUAAGCACUCCGCCUGGGGAGUACGGCCGCAAGGCUGAAACUCAAAGGAAUUGACGGGGGCCCGCACAAGCGGUGGAGCAUGUGGUUUAAUUCGAAGCAACGCGAGAACCUUACCAGGUCUUGACAUCCCGCUGACCGGUCUGGAGACAGAUCUUUCCCUUCGGGGACAGCGGUGACAGUGUGCAUGGUUGUCGUCAG
rnacentral:rRNA from 1 species